UUUUUUUUUUUUUUUUUAAAUAUUAACUGUUAGCCUCAGGCAGGUCCUGCAGGAGGUAUCCAGAAGAAGGCCUUGUUAUCAUAAGAGAUGACAGCUCCAUGGAUGUUAUUGCUCCUGAAGACCCUUCAGUGGGACAAGAUGUGGAGGUGGAAGACAGUGAUAUUGAUGAUCCUGACCCUGUGAAGGCCUAGGCUAAUGUGUGUGUUUGUGUCUUAGUUUUUAACAAAAACAUUUAAAAAGUAAAAAUAUAGGCCAGGUACAGGGGCUCACACUUGUAAUCCCAACACCUUGGGAGGCCAAGACAGGAGGAUUGUUUGAGGCCAGGAGUUCAAGACCAACUUGGGUAAUAUAGUGAGAACCUGUCUCUACCCAAAAAAAAAAAAAAAAAGGUAAAAAUUUAAAACAUUUAAAAAUAGAAAAAUCCUUAUAGAAUAAGGAUACAAAGAAUAUUUUAGACAGCUACACAAUGUAUGUGUUAAGUGUUGUUACAAGAGUCAAAAAGCCAAAAAAAUUUAAAGUUAAUAAAGGGACAGUAAGCUAAGGUUAAUUUAUUAUUGAAGACGGAACCAUAUGGUAUAAAUAUAGUGUAGCCUAAGUGCACAGCAUCUGUCAAGUCUCCAGAAGUGCACAGUAAUGUCCUAGGUCUUCAUAUUCACUCACCACAUACUCACUCACUCACUCACUCACCAGAGCCACUGCCGGCCCUGCAAGUUCCAUGCGUGUUAAGUGCCCUACAGAGGUGUACCAUUUUUGUCUUUUAUACCAUAUUUUUACUGUACCUUUUCUAUGCUGUGUUUAGAUAUGUUUAGAUAAACAAAUACCACUGUGCUAUAGUUGCCUACAGUAUUCAGUACAGUAAUACGCUGUACAGAUGUGCAGCCUAGGAACCACAGGCCAUACCAUUAUAGUCCAGGUGUGUAGCAGGCUAUACCAUCUAGAUUUGUCCAAGGGCACUCUCUGAUGUCCACAUAACAACAGAUUUGCUUAACCAUACAUUUCUCAGAACACAUCCCUGUUGUUAAGCAACACUUGACUGUGUACGAAGCAAGUUUAGUCAUGAGCUGAUAAUUAUUCAACCCGAGUAAGGAGAACUCCCAACACUUUGGGAGGCCGAGGCAGGUGGAUCACCUGAGGUCAAGAGUUCGAGACCAGCCUGACCAACAUGGAGAAACCCCAUCUCUACUAAAAAUACAAAAAAUUAGUCGGGCGUGGUGGCACAUGCAUGUAAUCCCAGCUACUUGGGAGGCUGAGGCAGGAGAAUCGCUGGAACCCGGGAGGCGGAGGUUGAAGUGAGCCAAGAUCGCACCACUGCACUCCAGCCUCGGCAACAAGAGCAAAACUCUGUCUCAAAAAAAAAAAAAAAAAAAGAAAAAGAAAAAAAAGGAGAACUCAUGGGGGUUUAUUAUAUUUUUAUUUCUCUCUACUUUUCUUAUGUUUCCAAUUUUCCAUGAUAAAGAAUAAGUAGGGGGUUGGAAGGAUUGAGGGAGGAAGAGAGGAAGGAAGGGAGUAAGGGAGGGAAGGAUGGGGAGAGAGGAGAGAGAGAAGGGAAGGGAAGCGGGUAGGACAGAGUCCAAAAACAGGACC
ensembl:lncRNA